rnacentral:misc_RNA from 1 species
UCAUUCUCCCAACUUUGUUCAUAUGAUUCCUCCUUAUAAAGUGAUAGCUUAUUGUUUACCAUUAGAUUGUCAAAAUUUUCCAAUGGAGCUACUGCCUCUUCAAGUCCCACUCCCUUUUCUAUUUGAAGCACGAAUGGUUGGUGUGAAAUGUUAGGUUGAUAGAUGUUUAGGGGAUAUUGGUGACUCUAACCUUGCAGUGAAGGAUCCCAAUAUCAAUGGUAAUCAAAAUCUACCAUGUCAUUCAAUAACUAAAUGACAUCCUCGUGAUCUCUUUGAAGAACGUGAUCGCUAAUAGCCCAACUCCAUAAUUUACCCAAUUUCUUAUUGCUUCUUCCAAACCAUUAUAGAAAUUGAGAAUGAGUUCAUGAUUUGAAAGAUUAUGAUUGGCGAGUUGCUCUACUAAUUCAUUAAAUCUUCUCCAAUCAUCAUAUCAUUGUGUUGUUGAAUAAAACUUAUAAAGACUUAUUGAUGAAACAUGUCAAUGAUCCUUAUAAGAAAAAUA